UACAGAGGUCUCAAGCGUUGUUCGGAUUCAUUGGGCGUAAAGGGUGCGUAGGCGGCGCGGUAAGUCGGGUGUGAAAUCUCGGGGCUUAACUCCGAAACUGCAUUCGAUACUGCCGUGCUUGAGGACUGGAGAGGAGACUGGAAUUUACGGUGUAGCGGUGAAAAUGCGUAGAUAUCGUAAGGAAGACCAGUGGCGAAGGCGGGUCUCUGGACAGUUCCUGACGCUGAGGCACGAAAGGCC
rnacentral:rRNA from 1 species